UACCAGCACCCCGAGUGGUCGGGACGAUUAUUGGGCGUAAAGCGUCCGCAGGUGGCUGUUCAAGUCUGCUGUCAAAGCGCAGAGCUUAACUCUGUACAGGCGGUGGAAACUGAAGAGCUAGAGUAUGGUAGGGGUAGAGGGAAUUCCCGGUGUAGCGGUGAAAUGCGUAGAUAUCGGGAAGAACACCAGUGGCGAAAGCGCUCUACUGGGCCAUAACUGACACUGAGGGACGAAAGCUAGGGGAGCGAAAGGG
rnacentral:rRNA from 1 species